rnacentral:rRNA from 1 species
CAUUAAAGAAUACCAGGCCUCACAGCCCUAUUCUCACCCUGUGUAUUUGAAACUUCGUUGCUUUGGCAGGCCCCUGGCUUCGGCUGGACAGCGCCUGCCAGAGGAUCUAAACCCUUGAAUCUCUGCUGUCUGAGUACUGUACAAUAGUUAAAACUUUCAACAACGGAUCUCUUGGUUCUGGCAUCGAUGAAGAACGCAGCGAAAUGCGAUAAGUAAUGUGAAUUGCAGAAUUCAGUGAAUCAUCGAAUCUUUGAACGCACAUUGCGCCCUCUGGUAUUCCGGGGGGCAUGCCUGUUCGAGCGUCAUUACAACCCUCACGCUCUGGCGUGGUGUUGGGCUCGCCCUGUAAGGGCCUGCCUCAAAAUCAGUGGCGGCCGCUGUUCGACCCCUAAGCGUAGUAAUUAUUCGUCGCUUCUGGGCUAGAGCAAGCCUGCUAGGAACCCCC